rnacentral:tRNA from 1 species
CCUUCGAUAGCUCAGUUGGUAGAGCGGUGGACUGUAGCUGAAAUCAUGAGAGAAUGGAAAUCCAUAGGUCGCUGGUUCAAAUCCGGCUCGAAGGA